AGCUCGAGAUGGAUUUCGAGCGAGCUGUCAAAGGUGGCCGACGUCCACCACCUGGUCCCCCCUACACCCCUGAUGAUCCAUGAACGUCUACGCUGCAUUGGUGGGCAAUGUGCGCGGUGGUGGGUAUAGCACCAAGGCUCCCCUUCUUUGCUGUCCGUUCUGCUAGAAAGCGUGCGUUUCUGCGACGUCCAUGGCGCACUCGCGGCUCUGAAGUAACGGCGCUGCAUUGCUGCUGCGGCUCUCUCGUAGACUCGCUCGUUGGCGCGUCGGAGAACAGGGAAAGAGGGAGAGAGAAAAAAA